UACGUAGGGCGCAAGCGUUGUCCGGAAUUAUUGGGCGUAAAGAGCUCGUAGGCGGUUUGUCGCGUCUGCUGUGAAAACCCGGGGCUCAACCCCGGGCCUGCAUUCGAUACGGGCAGGCUAGAGUUCGGUAGGGGAGUCUGGAAUUCCUGGUGUAGCGGUGAAAUGCGCAGAUAUCAGGAGGAACACCGGUGGCGAAGGCGGGACUCUGGGCCGAUACUGACGCUGAGGAGCGAAAGCGUGGGGAGCGAACAGG
rnacentral:rRNA from 1 species